rnacentral:rRNA from 1 species
GUGGGGAAUAUUGGGCAAUGGGGGAAACCCUGACCCAGCGACGCCGCGUGAGGGAAGACGGCCUUCGGGUUGUAAACCUCUUUUGUACGGGAAGAAGGAAGUGACGGUACUGUACGAAUAAGUCCCGGCUAACUACGUGCCAGCAGCCGCGGUAAUACGUAGGGGACGAGCGUUGUCCGGAAUUACUGGGCGUAAAGGGCGCGCAGGCUGUGCUGCAAGUCAGCUGUGAAAUGUCUGGGCUUAACCCGGGCAUGCGGUUGAGACUGCAGUGCUGGAGUGCUGGAGAGGCAAGUGGAAUUCCCAGUGUAGCGGUGAAAUGCGUAGAUAUUGGGAAGAACACCGGUGGCGAAGGCGACUUGCUGGGCAGCAACUGACGCUGAGGCGCGAAAGCCAGGGGAGCAAACGGGAUUAGAUACCCGUGUAGUCC